GCGAGAGUGGCGGAAUUGGCAGACGCGCUAGAUUCAGGUUCUAGUGAACGUUUAAGUUCAUAGGGGUUCAAGUCCCCUCCCUCGCACCA
rnacentral:tRNA from 1 species